rnacentral:lncRNA from 1 species
CGCGCCCCCGGCGCACCGGCUGCGGAGGGGUGGGAAGGCGCGCAGCUGCAGCGCGGGGCGGGUCGCACGUGCAGCCGCUCCUGCGGGGCGCGGGGCCAGAAGCUCGCCGGGGGGAGGGGAGGGGGGCCCGCGGCCCUCCAGCCCGCCCCGCAGCCACCCCAGACCCAGAGGAAGGGCCCCUUGACCCGGACGCCGGGCGCCUCCGCCCCCGCGCGGUUAGGCCUCGGCCAAGCAGCCAGUCGUCAGGGUCCCAGGAGGAGCCGACGACGCAUCUCUGGACCCAGUUGUUCAGCCAAUCAAGUUGACGGUAUCGGUUUGGAACCCAGCCCCCCGGGCUCCCGGAGCGCACCCAUCUCAACUCUUGCACGCUCCCAGGGAGAAGUGACACAACUCUUAUGCCUUGACUCCUUCAGGAUUUAGGAAUUUGAAAUGGAGCUGCCCAGGGUCCCACAAGAAUAAAGCCGUGACUUUUUGUGCAAGGCGGUCACCAGCAAAACAGAAAACUCUGUGUACUUAAGGCAAGGAUGAGUUUCUUUUUUCUUUCUUUCUUUUUUUUUUAAGAUUUUAUUUAUUUAUUUGAGAGAGAGAGAAUGAGAGAUACAGAGCACGAGAGGGAAGAGGGUCAGAGGGAGAAGCAGACUCCCU